UCCUAUGAUGGCAUGAAAUCUUUGAGACCUGAUUAUUCUAAUGAUGCGACCAUAAGCAUAUUUCCUGAGGUC
rnacentral:snoRNA from 1 species